ACACUUUAUUUAAUUUCCCCCCAUUAAUUUCAAUGGAAAAUCAACAACGCAAUGAACACCGUAAAGAAAAUAGAAGAUUUGGGUGAAAAAUCAGUGAGCUUAAUAGCAGCAGACUGUGAAGGCGGUGGAGGAUUGUAAAAGUAGAAUGGAAAAUACGGAACAAUUGGAUUCGGAGGUGGAGGAGUAGGUCCAGAAGGGUAAUUUUGGUAAGGUGGAGGUGGUGAAUAGUAGUAAUUACCGCCGCCGCCGCCGCCGGAGGAGGAAGGCGGUGGUGGCGGU
rnacentral:misc_RNA from 1 species